rnacentral:rRNA from 1 species
GACGAACCGUGCGAGCGUUGUUCGGAUUCACUGGGCUUAAAGGGCGCGUAGGCGGCUUGCCAAGUCAGGGGUGAAAUCUUUCGGCUCAACCGGAAAAGUGCUUCUGAUACUGGCAGGCUGGAGGGAGGUAGGGGCAGAUGGAACUUCCGGUGGAGCGGUGAAAUGCGUAGAUAUCGGAAGGAACGCCGGUGGCGAAAGCGAUCUGCUGGAUCUCUUCUGACGCUGAUGCGCGAAAGCCAGGGGAGCAAACGGG